AUUAUCACGAAUCAAGCCUGGCUUGCUGUUGGACCUCUUGUCGUUGAAAGACAGGCCCUAAAGAUAAUGACGGUGUCAGUUGGACCCUAGAUGCAACGAGCUUUAACUAGCACGCAUGUUAGUGGCCUUCUGACCCGGUCUUUUAUAACCCAUUUCUUAAGGUUGACCUCGGAUCAGGUAGGAAUACCCGCUGAACUUAA
rnacentral:misc_RNA from 1 species